AGUUCUCGUUGAUGAUCGGUGCUUGCACCGAGAUUCAACAUGGAACGAGUGGCGGACGGGUGAGUAACACGUGGGUAACCUGCCCUUAAGUGGGGGAUAACAUUUGGAAACAGAUGCUAAUACCGCAUAGAUCCAAGAACCGCAUGGUUCUUGGCUGAAAGAUGGCGUAAGCUAUCGCUUUUGGAUGGACCCGCGGCGUAUUAGCUAGUUGGUGAGGUAAUGGCUCACCAAGGCGAUGAUACGUAGCCGAACUGAGAGGUUGAUCGGCCACAUUGGGACUGAGACACGGCCCAAACUCCUACGGGAGGCAGCAGUAGGGAAUCUUCCACAAUGGACGCAAGUCUGAUGGAGCAACGCCGCGUGAGUGAAGAAGGCUUUCGGGUCGUAAAACUCUGUUGUUGGAGAAGAAUGGUCGGCAGAGUAACUGUUGUCGGCGUGACGGUAUCCAACCAGAAAGCCACGGCUAACUACGUGCCAGCAGCCGCGGUAAUACGUAGGUGGCAAGCGUUAUCCGGAUUUAUUGGGCGUAAAGCGAGCGCAGGCGGUUUUUUAAGUCUGAUGUGAAAGCCCUCGGCUUAACCGAGGAAGCGCAUCGGAAACUGGGAAACUUGAGUGCAGAAGAGGACAGUGGAACUCCAUGUGUAGCGGUGAAAUGCGUAGAUAUAUGGAAGAACACCAGUGGCGAANGCGGCUGUCUGGUCUGUAACUGACGCUGANGCUCGAAAGCAUGGGUAGCGA
rnacentral:rRNA from 2 species